rnacentral:miRNA from 1 species
UUAGAAGAAGAAGAAGAAGA